UUUGGGAUAUGAUGACAGCUUAAUUGCUGGAUAGUAUCUGAGGCGAAAGCUUUGAAGAAUUAUCAUUUGCACGUCAGUCUGAUCCCAAA
rfam:Corchorus olitorius cultivar O-4 contig12579, whole genome shotgun sequence.